rnacentral:rRNA from 1 species
AUGGAUGGGGAGUUGCCGGAAUACGACAGUGAUGUGCAAAAUAUGUUGGACCUCUUCAUCACAAACGAGCAGGGCCACCUACUCCAACACGAGAAUGGUGAUGAGAUGCAUGGCCUGCUGGGAGCCACUACCAACAUGGGCAACACCGACGAUGCCAACGCAGCUGCUGCAGACAAAGGCAACAAUAACGAUGGAGAGAUCAAUAGUGAGCAGAGAAUGGAAAGCCCUUAUCCAGAUGCGAAACUCCGGAAAGACCUUAGCGAGAGGCUUGGCAUGAGUGCCCUGCAUGUCAAGUUUUGGUUCCAAAACAAACGCUGCUCCAGCAAGGGCAAGAGGCAACUACAGGACACCAAGAAUCUUCAGGGAGAGAACCAGAUGCUAAAAGAUGAAAACCAUGCCAUCAAGUGGGUUGUUGAACACAAGACAUGCCUCAAAUGUGUAGGGACUGUUGUGGUUGCUAUAUGGGAUGGCAUGAGACCUAGCGCUUGCGGCAGCAAUGUUGGGGUUGUGAACUUUUACGUUGAUCCUUCUCGGCAAAAAAAAAAAAAGUGGUAUGAGAUCAUUGAUCCUGUUCUGGAGCCUUUGCUUGCCAUCCACACACACACUUCUCGGGGCGUGCACCUACAGAGUCAUGCCCGGAUCUGGAUGACACGGACAUGCGGCGAGCUACAAGUAGUAGUACAGAAUUCGGUGAAUCGGAUGGUCACGCCCAAGAAUUAUGCCAAAUUGGCUCCUCUGUCGCGUAUGAAUCGGCAAGUGUUGGGCUACUGCAAGGCCGUGGAGCAGAAAGCAGCAGCCAGCUUCUGGCUCAGCAGUUGGCAGAAAGCAGUCAGAGCGAAAUUAUGCCAAAUUGACAUGGAUCGGAUCGACUCAGCGGAGUACAAUCACUGCAGCGGCAAAGGGAAGACACCAAUUACUCGGGGCUUUCCAGAGCUGCAGAGCAGAUAUGAACAAGAGCCAAAGGUGACUCUCAAGAUCAUUGACUCCACUGGGCCUCUCCUAGAUCAUGUAUUAAACAGAAAAGGUAGCAGGUCAGUCGACAUGCAAGUAGAUCAGUUAAUGGUUAUUGAAUGGUCGAUCAUUAGUGAAUUGAGAAAACCAGCUAGCUACCUUCCUAACCGUUUUGGCAGCGGGCUGGAGAUGAAUCUUUUCUCAUAA